GACAGAGGGUGCAAACGUUGUUCGGAAUUACUGGGCGUAAAGCGCAUGUAGGCGGCUCGGAAAGUCGGAUGUGAAAGCCCAGGGCUCAACCCUGGAAGUGCACUCGAAACUCCCGAGCUGGAGUCCCGGAGAGGAAGGCGGAAUUCUCGGUGUAGAGGUGAAAUUCGUAGAUAUCGAGAGGAACACCAGUGGCGAAGGCGACUUCCUGGCCUGUUCUUGACGCUGAGGCGCGAAAGCUAGGGGAGCAAACGGG
rnacentral:rRNA from 1 species